GAGGAAUAUUGGUCAAUGGACGGAAGUCUGAACCAGCCAAGUAGCGUGCAGGAUGACGGCCCUAUGAGUUGUAAACUGCUUUUGUAUGGGGAUAAAGUUAGGGACGUGUCCCUAUUUGCAGGUACCAUACGAAUAAGGACCGGCUAAUUCCGUGCCAGCAGCCGCGGUAAUACGGAAGGUCCAGGCGUUAUCCGGAUUUAUUGGGUUUAAAGGGAGCGUAGGCUGGAGAUUAAGUGUGUUGUGAAAUGUAGACGCUCAACGUCUGAAUUGCAGCGCAUACUGGUUUCCUUGAGUACGCACAACGUUGGCGGAAUUCGUCGUGUAGCGGUGAAAUGCUUAGAUAUGACGAAGAACUCCGAUUGCGAAGGCAGCUGACGGGAGCGCAACUGACGCUUAAGCUCGAAGGUGCGGGUAUCAAACAGGAUUAGAUACCCUGGUAGUCCGCACAGUAAACGAUGGAUGCCCGCUGUUGGUACCUGGUAUCAGCGGCUAAGCGAAAGCAUUAAGCAUCCCACCUGGGGAGUACGCCGGCAACGGUG
rnacentral:rRNA from 1 species